GAGGGUGUAGCUCAGUGGUAGAGUGUGUGCUUAGCAUGCACCAAGUCCUGAGUUUAAUCCCCAGUACCUCCA
rnacentral:tRNA from 1 species